rnacentral:tRNA from 1 species
GCGAAGGUGGCGGAAUUGGUAGACGCGCUAGCUUAAGGUGUUAGUGUCCUUACGGACGUGGGGGUUCAAGUCCCCCCCCUCGCACCA